UACAGAGGGUGCAAGCGUUAAUCGGAUUUACUGGGCGUAAAGCGAGUGUAGGUGGCCGCGUAAGUCGGUUGUGAAAUUCCUGGGCUCAACCUGGGGGCUGCGUUUGAUACGUGCGGACUUGAGUGCGGAAGAGGGUCGUGGAAUUCCCAGUGUAGAGGUGAAAUUCGUAGAUAUUGGGAAGAACACCGGUGGCGAAGGCGGCGACCUGGUCCGAUACUGACGCUGAGGCGCGAAAGCGUGGGGAGCAAACAGG
rnacentral:rRNA from 1 species